AUCUUCAUCAUCACACAAGACAAAACAACAAUGAACAACAUCGUCAUCCUCAUCUGGACCAUUGCAGCUUUUAUUCAAGCAUCCAGAGGAGUCACUUUGACUCAACCUAAAGUGAAAACUGUCCAGCUCGGUCAAACAGCUACAAUAGAGUGUCAUAUAGAUGUAGGAAUAUACAGCACUCACUUAUACUGGUAUCAGCAGAAACCUGGAGAUGCUAUUAAACUCCUGAUAUAUUAUAUAAACACCCUCCAGUCAGGAACUCCAUCUAGAUUCAGUGGCAGUGGAACAGCAAAUACUGGACGUGAUUUCACUCUGACCAUCAGUGGAGUCCAGACUGAAGAUACAGGAGAUUAUUACUGUCAGAGUACACACAGUGGUCCAGUGUUCACACAGUGAUAAAGAGUCAUACAAAAACCUCCGUCAGUCAGACUCACAGUGACUGCACUGAUACAGCUGAGAGAUACUGCAGCUGCUGAUGGAUGUUAUUUUCUGUUAUUUCUUAUAACAGUCUCAUUCACUCAAAAAUGUUGAAGUCUUGUAAUGAUUUGUGAGUCUUUUUUG